AGCAGCCGCGGUAAUUCCAGCUCCAAUAGCGUAUAUUAAAGUUGUUGCAGUUAAAAAGCUCGUAGUUGAAUUUCGGGACCAUCAUGUCGGUCGUGCCUCGGUACGUACUGGUAUUGUUGGUUUCUCCCUUCUGACGAACCAUGAUGUCAUUUAUUUGGUGUUGUAGGGAAUCAGGACUGUUACUUUGAAAAAAUUAGAGUGUUUAAAGCAGGCUCACGCUUGAAUACAUUAGCAUGGAAUAAUGAAAUAGGACGUUUGAUUCUAUUUUGUUGGUUUCUAGGAUCGACGUAAUGAUUAAUAGGGAUAGUUGGGGGCAUUAGUAUUCAAUUGUCAGAGGUGAAAUUCUUGGAUUUAUUGAAGACUAACUACUGCGAAAGCAUUUGCCAAGGAUGUUUUCAUUAAUCAAGAACGAAAGUUAGGGGAUCGAAGACGAUCAGAUACCGUCGUAGUCUUAACCAUAAACUAUGCCGACUAGGGAUCGGAUGAUGUUAAUUUAAUGACUCA
rnacentral:rRNA from 1 species